UACGGAGGGUGCGAGCGUUGUCCGGAAUCACUGGGCGUAAAGGGCGCGUAGGCGGUCUGCUAAGCGUGCGGUGAAAGCCUGGGGCUCAACCCCAGGUCUGCCGUGCGAACUGGUGGACUAGAGCACUGUAGAGGCAGGUGGAAUUCCGGGUGUAGCGGUGGAAUGCGUAGAGAUCCGGAAGAACACCGGUGGCGAAGGCGGCCUGCUGGGCAGUUGCUGACACUGAGGCGCGACAGCGUGGGGAGCAAACAGG
rnacentral:rRNA from 1 species